UCCUCUCCCUCUUCCUCCUCCUCCUCCUUUCUUCCUCCUCUUUCUCCUGCUUCUCCUCCUUCCUUCCUCCUCUUCUUCCUCCUUCCUGCUUCCAGAGGAGAUGUUUAGGUGCAGUUAGCACUCAGUGCUGGUCCCUGCAUGAUGGACUGACCAAAGAACCACUGUGGCAAAGCAGAGGCCUGGACCAUCACUCUCACCACUGAGGCUUGGAUCUGCCUGGUUAAGGGUGAAUGUUUCCUCCCUUCCUCUGACAGGGAGAUCAACUUCCAUCAGAAUUUUGGACUCUUACAUUGUGUUUUUAUAUCAAGCAAAGUGCAAAAGGUUAUUUCUAGCAUUAAUCAUUGCAGCUAAUAAAGAUGGAACGCCCAGAGGUAGGCCUUGUACUAGGAAGCUUUUCUACAGUGCCUCAAUGAAGAUACUCAAUCGCACGUAACUCCUGUCCAAUCCACUAAUGGAGAAACAGCGUUAAUGAAGGAUUGCAUCAUCACCAAUGGGCCUGCUGAGUAGCUCCGCUCUGGUCGGCUGCUGCCAAAACGCAGUUCUCAUUUCCAACAAACAAAGUCUAUCUGAGAGACAGCACAGAGCCCUUUAGAACUGGGAAGUCCUGUGCAUAAUAAUGAAUCCCAGCUCUUCUUUUGCCAAAGAGCCUGGG